CACUAGGAGAAGUUUUACUCUUAGCAGUACCUGCCCAGUGCAAAGUUGUAAACGGCCGCCCUAGCGUGAGGGUGCCAAGGUAGCGAAAUUCCUUGCCUUUUAAUUGUAGGCCUGCAUGAAUGGAUUGACGAGGGUCAAACUGUCUCUUGCUUUGUAUGACGAAAUUGGACUGAAGGUGAAGAUACCUUCAUGUAAAAGUUAGACAAGAAGACCCCGUGCAGCUUUUAAAAACUUACUUAUUAAGAGAUAUAAGAUUUUUAGGUGGGGCGCCUAGGAAGUAAAACUUAACCUUCUUAUUUGUUAAAAGUAACUGUCUGGUGUAGACCCGGCAAGUCCGAUCAUGGGAGAAGUUACGCCGGGGAUAACAGGCUUAUCCAUUAGUAGAGCUCGUAUUGGCUAAUGGGAUUGGCACCUCGAUGUUGAAUUAAGGAUGAUAACUCUAAGGCGUAGAGGCUUUGGAAGUGGGUCUGUUCGACCUUUAAUACCUU
rnacentral:rRNA from 1 species